rnacentral:rRNA from 1 species
UAGCGUAGGGGCCGAGCGUUGUCCGGAGUUAUUGGGCGUAAAGCGCGCGCAGGCGGCCUCGCGCGCCCGACGUGAAAGCCCCCGGCCUUAACCGGGGAGGGUCGUUGGGGACGGCGGGGCUUGAGGGCGGGAGAGGUCGGUGGAAGUUCCCGGUGUAGUGGUGAAAUGCGUAGAGAUCGGGAGGAACACCUGUGGCGAAGGCGGCCGACUGGGCCGACCCUGACGCUGAGGCGCGAAGGCGUGGGGAGCGAACGGG